UUAUGUUGAAACACUGGUUCCCAUAUGAUCACCAAAUUUAAUCAGCAUUGAGCUUGGUCAGUACCUAGAUGGGUGACAACUUGGGAAUACCAAGUGCUGUAAG